GGCUGAAAUUCGCCUUCCAUGAAGCUGGAAUUGCUAGUAAUGGCAGGUCAGCAUACUGCCGUGAAUACGUUCCCGGGCCUUGUACACACCGCCCGUCACACCAUGAGAGUUGGGAAUACCCGAAGCCUGUGAGCUAACUUAUAGAGGCAGCAGUCGAAGGUAGAAUCAAUGAUUGGGGUGAAGUCGUAACAAGGUAGC
rnacentral:rRNA from 1 species